rnacentral:lncRNA from 1 species
UUAGUGGGUUGGCUUAAGGGUUAGAAAGGAAUUAGGGUUAGGGUUCGAUUAAGUCUAGGAUUUUGAGGAGGGUUAGUAGUGGGUUCAGUUAGGAUUAGGUUAAGGGUUAGAGUUUGGAUGAGGUUAGGGUUAGGUUAGAUUUGGGGUUAGGGUUAGGAUGGAAUUGGGGUUAGGGUUUCGUUCAGCUGUCAAAGAAGUCCGACAGAAGAUGGAGAUGGAAAAAAGAAAAAAAAA